CCGUGCUAGGCGGGAAGGUAGCGGUGUCCUGUACUCGCAAUCCGCUCUAGCGAGGCUGAAUCCCCGCUCGAGGGGCGCGGCCUCUGAGGCCAGUACGCCGCUUUCGGGUGUCGAUGGCCAGGUC
rnacentral:SRP_RNA from 1 species